GACGAACGCUGGCGGCGUGCUUAACACAUGCAAGUCGAACGGAAAGGCCCCUUUGGGGGUACUCGAGUGGCGAACGGGUGAGUAACACGUGAGUAACCUGCCCUUGACUUCGGGAUAACUUCAGGAAACUGGGGCUAAUACCGGAUAGGAAUCCUUGCUGCAUGGUGGGGGUUGGAAAGCUUCGGCGGUUUUGGAUGGACUCGCGACUUAUCAGCUUGUUGGUGGGGUAGUGGCUUACCAAGGCUUUGACGGGUAGCCGGCCUGAGAGGGCGACCGGCCACAUUGGGACUGAGAUACGGCCCAGACUCCUACGGGAGGCAGCAGUGGGGAAUAUUGCACAAUGGGCGGAAGCCUGAUGCAGCAACGCCGCGUGCGGGAUGACGGCCUUCGGGUUGUAAACCGCUUUCAGCAGGGGCGAAGCUUGUGGUGACGGUACCUGCAGAAGAAGCACCGGCUAACUACGUG
rnacentral:rRNA from 1 species